rnacentral:tRNA from 1 species
GCCCUGGUGGUGUAAUGGCUAAACAUUUGGCUGCUAACAAAAAGGUUGGUGGUUCAAACCCACCCAGCAGCU